GCGAACUGAUUAGAAGCUUGCUUCUAUGACGUUAGCGGCGGACGGGUGAGUAACACGUGGGCAACCUGCCUGUAAGACUGGGAUAACUUCGGGAAACCGAAGCUAAUACCGGAUAGGAUCUUCUCCUUCAUGGGAGAUGAUUGAAAGAUGGUUUCGGCUAUCACUUACAGAUGGGCCCGCGGUGCAUUAGCUAGUUGGUGAGGUAACGGCUCACCAAGGCAACGAUGCAUAGCCGACCUGAGAGGGUGAUCGGCCACACUGGGACUGAGACACGGCCCAGACUCCUACGGGAGGCAGCAGUAGGGAAUCUUCCGCAAUGGACGAAAGUCUGACGGAGCAACGCCGCGUGAGUGAUGAAGGCUUUCGGGUCGUAAAACUCUGUUGUUAGGGAAGAACAAGUACGAGAGUAACUGCUCGUACCUUGACGGUACCUAACCAGAAAGCCACGGCUAACUACGUGCCAGCAGCCGCGGUAAUACGUAGGUGGCAAGCGUUAUCCGGAAUUAUUGGGCGUAAAGCGCGCGCAGGCGGUUUCUUAAGUCUGAUGUGAAAGCCCACGGCUCAACCGUGGAGGGUCAUUGGAAACUGGGGAACUUGAGUGCAGAAGAGAAAAGCGGAAUUCCACGUGUAGCGGUGAAAUGCGUAGAGAUGUGGAGGAACACCAGUGGCGAAGGCGGCUUUUUGGUCUGUAACUGACGCUGAGGCGCGAAAGCGUGGGGAGCAMACAGGAUUAGAUACCCUGGUAGUCCACGCCGUAAACGAUGAGUGCUAAGUGUUAGAGGGUUUCCGCCCUUUAGUGCUGCAGCUAACGCAUUAAGCACUCCGCCUGGGGAGUACGGUCGCAAGACUGAAACUCAAAGGAAUUGACGGGGGCCCGCACAAGCGGUGGAGCAUGUGG
rnacentral:rRNA from 1 species